rnacentral:rRNA from 1 species
UACAGAGACUGCAAGCGUUAUUCGGAUCCACUGGGCGUAAAGGGUGCGCAGGCGGCCAAGUGUGUCAGGUGUGAAAUCCCGGAGCUUAACUCCGGAACUGCGCCUGAAACUACUUGGCUAGAGCAUUGGAGAGGGAAGUGGAAUUCACGGUGUAGCAGUGAAAUGCGUAGAUAUCGUGAGGAACACCAGAGGCGAAGGCGACUUCCUGGACAAUUGCUGACGCUCAGGCACGAAAGCGUGGGGAGCCAAAGGG